UUUUGCGUUUGAGCUGAUGCAAGAUGGAGGGCUUGAAAAACCAAAACCAAGGCCAGAAGACAUCGUAAACUGCGACUUAAAGUCAACUCUGAGGGUGCUGUACAAUCUGUUCACCAAAUACAGAAACUUGGAAUGAAGAAGUCCCUUGGGAUCCCACAGGUGGCUAAGUAAGGAACCAACCAACUCAACAGCCACUCCUGUUUUGCAAUCGUUCUUUUACUUGUGUACUAUACUUCCUUCACAUGUUCCAUAUUCUUGCUAUGUUUGUUUUGCACAAAAAAAUGUUUUAAAUUAGAUCUUGUCUGCAGUCCAAAAUAUUAUGAAGUGAACCUCUGCUGGAAGAUGCAUAUUCCUUUGUUUUUACUAGCUCUUGAUUUCUUGGAGAGCAAGCAAGAAAGCCUGAUCCCACAUCCAGGUUAAGAGAAACAAACUGAUUUUGAUAGAAAUGCCAGCCUCUUCCUAUGAGCUAUGCUGCCACAAUAACCAAGAAGAUCACAUGACACAGGUCUGUGCACUACUACAUGGUGAAUGUGCUAUCUUCUUCUGCGGGAUCCUCUCUAAGCCAAAGAAUAGGUAUGCCUGCUGUCUCUGGUGCUUUGGCAGCUGCUGCUGCUGCUUUCUAUACAUUACUCAGCUAUGCUACACAAAGGACAUAAUCAGCCCAGAAAGAGGAGAGUUCUUUCUCAAUGUGCUUAGCUCUUCAUCAAGACAAGCUGGACUAGCAGCAGAACUGUGUUGCUCCCAUAUAUCAAGGUAGCCAGGGACUCUCCCCUGUCCCCCGGGUGUCAUUUUAGAUUGUGGUGCAAACUGCUGCUUUUAAGAAGUAGAUGCUCAGUUGUUCCAUAGAAUCAAUCAGAUCAAAAUGCUUCAGUUUAAUUAAGUUGUGGAUUGAGCUGCAGGACAUUUUCUCUGUCUGUGUUUAUUGAAUAUUUAUUUCAAAGAAAAGAUCCAUUGUAUUCCUAAUGAGAUGUAUGAGCACUAUUACAAAGAUCAUGGAGAAUGUAAGAGAGACAGACACCAUAGGUGGCGUAAUGCAAACUGAGCUAUGAAACUGAGCUUCAUAAUUUGACUGACGCGGCUUAUAAGGGUCCAGGUAUGUGUCCCCUGUGCAUACAUUCCUCAUCAUUUUUCAUUCCUUACAAGCUCGCAGAUCAUGCAGCUGUCCUUUAACUACAGUGCAUUUAAAAUAACCUGCAACAUGUAGUAUUUUUUACAAUGUGAUACUCUUGCCUAGUUGCAAACGCUGUGGUACAAAGUAUGUAGAUAGUUUCAGUAUGGAAACUCUUUUUGCAACAAAGCACAUAGUAAGUCAAUGCAGUGGGCUUCUGGGCUAGAAUCCAGGUGGGAUCAGCCCUGCCAGGAUAUUGACAUAAGCUUUGUUUACAUAAUUGAAACGAAACAUAAAAUGAUGUAAUUGGUACAAGUAAGAAACAGCUUUGGUGACAGAAGCAAAGGUAAAGGUUGUUCAAAGAAAGAAUUAUUUUUGCAUACCUUGGCCUUUGGAGAUCUAAAAUGAAUGAGAAAUGUUGAACAUUUUAUGAAAAUCAGGUUCUCUUGCAUUAUGAUUAUUACUAAGUCUAAAAUUAAUUUUUUUGGAUUUUUGAAUUUUAACAGGAUAAGACAACUAUAUACUGUAUACAGAAGAAGUUGUGAUUUUUUGGGUAUGUAUUCUUUGCCAAAUCCUGUUAAAAUACAAACAUUUUAAUUUUAGGAUCAGCACCAAUAAUUUGUGCUGCAAUUUGUCCCAUGCUUACUUUGUACAGAACAUUGAGGGCAAAGUAGCUUACUUUUAUUUAUUUUUUUAUUUGUCUCUACCAAAAUGAUAAAACCUAAAUGUAAAAAAACAUCCCAUACCUAUCUUAUACUGUGUGGUUCUGAUUUUAAAUAUUUCUUAUGCUUAGUGAAGAGGUGGUGUGACUCCUUUAGUUAGUUCACAUUUGAUUUGUUUUUUUGUAAUUCAAGUAAAGGGGUUAAUAUUGUAUAAGGACAUGCCUGUUGCCUUCCUGAUGCUGAUCGGUUGCCUCUAGAUAUUCAGUAGCCCAGGGGCCAGUCAUCAUCUUCAUGUUAGUAAAGGUGCCAAGAGGUGACUAUCCCAUCAGUUUUGUCAGUUGACCAUCACUUCUGCCUUGUGUGGUGAGAAUGGGGGGUGGGGAGGGGCAUAAUGUAUCCAGGUAAAACUCAUUUGCGAUAUGCAUAUGUAUAUGAUAGGUUACAUACCAUUUUUCACCACAUGAGGGUGCAUACAAACAGCGUAAUCACUGCACAAAAAAUAGACACGUCUGAAUUAUCUGAUAGUGGCUUUUAGGGUAACCAGAUAUAAAGGCUCCUAUGCACCUAAGAGUUCUGUAAAAGAGGGUCAAGCAGGUGCAACUUUUCUCCGUUCUGGUAGAGAUGCUUCACCUCUUGAAGUUAAGUUCACAUAUAGAAUCUUAUCUAGGAACCCGGCCUUCCUUUGCAUCUUAAUUAUUUUUACAUUUUUUAU